AGGGGAGUGGCUCAACGGUAGAGCAGCGGUCUCCAAAACCGCCGGUUGCGCGUUCAAAUCGUGUCUCCCCUGCCA
rnacentral:tRNA from 5 species